CAAGCCAGCAGGUUCAUCUUUUAAAACCUUCUGGGGGUUGUAGCAGGAAAAUAGGAGUCCAUCCAUGGAUGACUUGAUCCACACACAUGUUUUUGACUCUACCAAAGUCUCCUGCCCUUUUCCACAGCCCUGGAAAUGUUACAUGAGUGGUGGGAUUGCCAGGUGGCAGGUGUAUUCGGCGACAUCGUAAUUAAGUCCGUUCGAACUAAAGUGAGAAGAGAUUCCGGCAGAGGAUCCACAAGUUGAGGUGGAAGAACAAGUCGGCGUGGAACCGCUACACUAUCCGCUUGCUACAACCAGAGAGCCUGAAAUGGGCACAAUCCCUGCCUUGGAUCAUAACACUGCUUUAGUAGUGUCUCCAAAUGAAGUAUCUUCAGAGACAGGACAUUUAGUGUCCUGUCUGCGAGCCAGGAACAUGUGCAGUUGCUCCGCGGCAUUCAAAGAGAAUUCCCAAACCCAGUGAGAGGCUGAAUUUGUAAAAUCAAAGGACUUUGUGGGGCACCUGGGAAAAAAGGAAGGAUCCUUCUGAAUGCCUAGAUGGCAGAAUUUCCUGGCUGCCAUGAUGACAGAAAAGGUCCUGAAAAGGCAACUCUAGAAAUUCUUUUCCAAAAUGCUGGAGAGAUAAAUCCAACACUCCUUACCAUCUGAACAUCCGGCUAUAAUGAAGUGGUUAUCAGAAAAUGGAACGGAGCUCCAAUGAGACACAGCUUCAUCACUGUCCCCUCUCUGCUCCAUGAGAUUAGACCUCCAACAGACCUCCAUUGGACUCUCAGAUUUGCGGAGCGGAGCACACAUCCCUAGCUCUAUCAUAUUGCUGUUGCUUUACCAGCUGGACGAACAAAGAAUUUUUAAAAAGACUCCAUGAGAACAUCUCAAUCCACAAGGACUCUUUUCUAUUGGCGUCUUUCCAUCUGAACUGGGAACUACACAGCUCGGCCCUUUAUUUGCUGAAAACUGGCAUUCCUACAAAAUGCUUCUGUGAUCCAAACCAUGUCUGUAGUUAGUAAUUAUUUGGACACCUCUUGACCCAAUAUGGUAUUAGCUUUGCCCUGUCAUCCUAUUAACACUGCAGAAUUUAGGCUGCAUUCAGGGACAAUUGUUUUUCAGAGAGUUACAGAACCAUUGAUUGAUUGAUUGAUUGAUUGAUUGAAUUUAUAUACCACUCAACUGGUAAAUGCUCUUGGGGUGGUUUAUAAUCAUAGAGCUUCUCUACGCACAGGAAAAAUCUGAAAGCUUUACUGGGGCUUUUGUCCUCUGCAGUCUUCCUACCACCAAGAUGUGCUCCUUGUGACCACAUGAUUUUUGAAUUGAAAACUUCACUACUUGGAAAGGCUCCAUUGUGUUUAAUGAGUCACUGCCGUCUAGUGGCUAAAGUAUAGCACAGCACUGACUUUACACACUAGGAGAUCCUGUGAUAUCUCAGAUGACACAUUAUCUCCAUUUAAAAGAGAGAGAGAAUCGAGAUUCCUGGGGGAUAGCUUGGGAGACAUCCUGAAUGUUGAUGACAUCAUGUAAUGGUCCCACAAUCUUCCAUGAGUGGCCAAUCACGAACGUGCAAUAAAUUGCUCGUUUAGAGAAGCUCAUAAAAACAAAUACUAAAAACAAUCAAUAAAAACAAACAAUCAAACAAGACAACAAAUUCAAUGAAAAUAUCAAAAUAUUAAAUAACUAAAAACUUAAAAAUAUCAAAAAGCCAGUGGGAAAAAUUAUAGUCAGAGCAGCAGAUUAGAAAUUAAGUGGCUGCUUAAUGAGGAACCUGGUGCCUAAACAUGUACUAUGAAGACAGCAGGUCCCUGGGAAAGAGGGGCCAUUGCAGAGAAGAGCUCCAAAAAUUAUCUUAACUAUCAGGCAGGAGCAUAUGAGAAAGCCACCCUAUCCACAAGUUAUGCCUGUUGGGCUGGAUAUUUAUUUAUUUGAAGGAUUUUUGCCACAUUCUUAAGACAAAAAAGACUCAUACGGAUGCUUGCAAGAUGGGUCCUGCCUUCAGGUAUAGAGUCUUAAAUAGGGAUGGGCAGACUUCAAGCUUAUUAGAUCUACUUUGUUUUUUUACUCAGACCCCAAGACCCAUCAACCCGAGCCAGGGACAAAAGACUUAGAAUUCAAGAACAGGAUGCUUCCGAUUGAGCAUAUUUGGUGCCUCGGAAUUUGUUUUGGGUACCAGAACUGAACUUGGGUACCAGAAGUUUCCAGCCCUUUCCCCCAAACAUUCACUCCUAAUUAGUCCACAUCAAGUAGGAAUCUGCUUCGUCCUUCAGAUCUAAGCAGUGAACGUAAAAGACAAUUAGCAGGAAUUUAAUAUAAAAAUGAGCACUGGAUAUUUAUUAGAGAAAUAUGCAGAGAGUUAAAAAUAAAUAUUAAGUUGCAGAAAUGCAUAUAUAACAAUUUAUAUAAACAAUUGCCUAAUACACAAACAGAUAUAAAAAGGAGCACAACUAUAAACUAUAGAUUUAAUAUGAAAAGUAUUAAUAAACCAAUAGAAAAUACUUUUAUGCCUAUGAUAUGGUAAAUACGCAACCAAACAUUUAUAAUGUAACAAGUAUAAAAUAUUAAAUGUAAAGCAGACAAAAACAUUUCAUAGUACUAUAUAUGAUAUAAUAAAUCUUCAUGACAAGUAGAUAUACACACAAGGACACUUAUUUAAUAGGCCGCCUAGAAGGGUCAAGGGUAGCCAUAUGUCCACUUCCAUAUGUCCUUUUCUUUCAUUUGCUUGACAAAAAAGUCCACUUGCCCCACCAGUGUCCAGUGUGCUGCUUCCUCCCUCUCCUUCUGAGCUUGCAUCUUCAUCAUCUCUCUGAUGGAUCGUUGCUUUUCCAUUAUGGGGUCCAAGAUUUGCAAGUCACGAGGGGGGGUUCUCCAUGGGAUAAGUGUAUCCCCUUUGUCGGGUGGAGAUGCAGAAGGGGCAUCAGCUGGAAGCUGACUUUUCGCAGGUGCUGAUGUGCAGAUGCUACUUGGCCUUCAAACGUUUUCUGCUGGAAUAGUUGGCCUGGUAGGGAGACCAGUUGCUUUCCCAGCAACACUGGCUUGCACUCUCCACCCACCGGCUUGGGAAAACUAAGAUGACAAUGGGCUUUGAUUCAUAUCAGUUCUGACGUCUGCACUGACUGUGGCAGUGGUUUGGAUUACCAAGGUUUUAGUCUAGUCGCUGACCUGGGCAGUGGCUUUGGCAAUGAGCUGGGCAAUGCUUUUGGGCGAGGGAGAGGUAGCUUUGACCAAGAGGACAGCACUGGGUUGGGCACAUAGGUUGACCCUGGCUUUGCCACAGACGUCUCCACUGGUUUUGCCACAGAGGUCACCACUGGCUUUGGUGAAGAUGUCUGCACUGGCUUUGGCCACAAGGUUGUCACUGACCUUCACACAGGGGACGGCACUGGCUCUGGUACAGACGUUGCCACUGACUUUGGCCAAGAGAUAGGUACUGGAUUUUGCCCAGAGGUCUGCACUGCCUUUGGCCAAGGGGUCUGCAGUGCCUUUGGAUGGGACGUGGACACUGGCCUUGGCAAAGAAGUCUCUACUGCCAUUGGCAAACUGGUCGGCACUUGCUUUGGCUGAGAGGUUGGCGGUGGCUUUGGCAGUGGGCUUAGAUGAAUCUUUGGCAGUGAGCAUGGAUUUGGAAGUCGCUUAGGGAGAGGUCUUGCCAUUGCAGCCAAUGGCUCCGGAACAUCUCUGGAAGAAUUAAGUCGAGGACCCUUCUUCAUAGGCAGUGAUGGAACAGAGUCCCUCAUGCCCAAAGUCAGAUUGCUCCUGGGGAUUAGCUCCUUGUGAGCACUUUCCCCAGGCUCCUUUGUCUUCUGGGGCACUUUUUUCCUACCCUUAGUCCCAGAAGGCACACUAAGGAAUGGUGCCUUUGAAGGUGGCUGGACAGGCUGGCAGUUCAUUGGGUCCACUUUGCAGCGUCCUCGUUCCAGAGGGAUCCGGAGCAUUUCCCAAACAUUUCCGGAUGCUGCAGGGAGGAAGACACAUCAGUUUAUGCAAGCGUUCUGUUUGUAAUUCAUCCUAUACUAUAGAGACUAUCUGUUCUACAUAUUGUUUUAUAUGUUAAUGUUUUAUGGU